rnacentral:rRNA from 1 species
AAAACAUUUUUUAUUAUUAAAAAUAAUAAAUAAAUUCUGCCCAAUGAUUAUUUUAAUGGCUGCAGUAAUUUAACUGUACUAAGGUAGCAUAAUAAAUUGUUUUUUAAAUGAAAACUAGAAUGAAUGAGUUGAUGAAAUAUAGACUUUAUUUAAAUUAUUUAUUGAAUUUAAUUUUUUAGUUAAAAAGCUUAAAUUUAUUUAUAAGACGAGAAGACCCUAUAGAAUUUUAUAUAAUAAUUUUAUAUGUAUAUAAUAUUAAUUAUAUAAUUAUAUAUUUAUUUGGGAGGAAUAUUAAAAUUAAUAACUUUAAUUAAUUAAUUACAUGGAUUUAUGAUAUAAAUAGAUUUUUAUGAAAAUGUAAAAUUAAAUUACCUUAGGGAUAACAGCGUAAUAUUUUUUUAUAGUUCUUAUUGAAAAAAAUGUUU